AUACUUGCCUGGCAGGGGAGACACCACGAUCACGAAGGCGGUUUUCCCAGGGCGAGGCUUAUCCGUCGCGCGCGGGAUGUGCUGACCCCUUGCGAUUUCCGCAAAUGUGGGAAACUCGACUGCAUAAUUUGUGGUAGUGCGGGACUGCGUUGGCGCUUUCCCCUG
ensembl:snRNA U1 U1 spliceosomal RNA